rnacentral:rRNA from 1 species
UUGACCUCGGAUCAGGUAGGAAUACCCGCUGAACUUAAGCAUAUCAAUAAGCGGAGGAAAAGAAACCAACAGGGAUUGCCCUAGUAACGGCGAGUGAAGCGGCAACAGCUCAAAUUUGAAAUCUGGCUCUCGGGCCCGAGUUGUAAUUUGUAGAGGAU